rnacentral:rRNA from 1 species
AUGGCGUCCAAGGGUCUUCUUGUGUUUGCUCUCCUGCUUGCUGCUGCUAUCCUCGUCGCCUCAACUGAACAAACUCAGGCCAAGAAGGAGGAGAAAGCCGGCGUAGAGGGCUACGACGGCGGCGGUGGCUACCCUGGCGGCGGCGGCGGCGGCUACCCAGGCCACGGUGGAGGAGGAGGAGGCGGCGGCUACCCAGGACACGGUGGAGGAGGUGGCGGCGGCUACCCAGGCCACGGUGGCGGCGGCGGCGGCGGCUACCCAGGCGCUGGCGGCGGCGGCGGCGGCUACCCCGGACACGGCGGUGGCGGCGGCGGUGGCUACCCUGGACACGGCGGAGGCGGAGGCGGCAGUGGAUGUCAUUGGGGCUGCUGCGGUCACGGGUACCAUGGCUGCCGCUGCUGCGCGCGCGCGGACGAAGUCCCGGAGCCCAUGUACCGCGCGGAGGUCCGCAACUGA